rnacentral:rRNA from 2 species
UUGACACUGAACACUGGUCCUUGAUGUGUAGGAUAGGUGGGAGGCUUUGAAGCGUGGACGCCAGUCUGCGUGGAGCCAACCUUGAAAUACCACCCUUUAAUGGCUGGUGUUCUAACGUAGACCCGUAAUCCGGGUUGCGGACAGUGUCUGGUGGGUAGUUUGACUGGGGCGGUCUCCUCCCAAAGAGUAACGGAGGAGCACGAAGG